rnacentral:rRNA from 1 species
CCUACGGGAGGCAGCAGUGGGGAAUAUUGGGCAAUGGAGGCAACUCUGACCCAGCAACGCCGCGUGAAUGAUGAAGGUCUUCGGAUUGUAAGUUCUGUGGUGGGGGGUGAACAAAAUGACGGUAACCCAAUAGCAAGCCACGGCUAACUAAGGGCCAGCAGCCGCGGGAAUACGUAGGUGGCAAGCGUUAACCGGAAUGACUGGGCGUAAAGGGUGGGUAGGUGGUUUAGUAAGUUGGCGGUGUAAUUCCGGGGCUCAACCUCGGCGCUACCGCCAAAACUAUUAGACUAGAGUGCAGGAGGGGUAAGUGGAAUUCCUAGUGUAGCGGUGGAAUGCGUAGAUAUUAGGAGGAACAUCAGGGGCGAAGGCGACUUACUGGACUGUAACUGACACUGAGGCACGAAAGCGUGGGGAGCAAACAGGAUUAGAUACCCGAGUAGUC